GAGGUACUAAUUAAAUAAUAAUAAUGCCUUGUCAAGACAUAAUUACGGGUUAAACCCCUGUGCACCUCU
rnacentral:tRNA from 1 species